UACAGGGGGGGGCAAGCGUUGUUCGGAAUUACUGGGCGUAAAGGGCCAGUAGGCGGCCAACUAAGUCACACGUGAAAUCCCCAGGCUUAACCUGGGAACUGCGUGUGAUACUGGAUGGCUUGAAUUCGGGAGAGGGAUGCAGAAUUCCAGGUGUAGCGGUGAAAUGCGUAGAUAUGACAUAGAACACCAAUUGCGCAGGCAGCUUACUACACAGUAAUUGACACUGAGGCACGAAAGCGUGGGGAUCAAACAGG
rnacentral:rRNA from 1 species